GACGAACGCUGGCGGCGUGCUUAACACAUGCAAGUCGAACGGAAAGGCCCUGCUUUUGUGGGGUGCUCGAGUGGCGAACGGGUGAGUAACACGUGAGUAACCUGCCCUUGACUUUGGGAUAACUUCAGGAAACUGGGGCUAAUACCGGAUAGGAGCUCCUGCUGCAUGGUGGGGGUUGGAAAGUUUCGGUGGUUGGGGAUGGACUCGCGGCUUAUCAGCUUGUUGGUGGGGUAGUGGCUUACCAAGGCUUUGACGGGUAGCCGGCCUGAGAGGGUGACCGGCCACAUUGGGACUGAGAUACGGACCAGACUCCUACAGGAGGCAGCAGUGGGGAAUAUUGCACAAUGGGCGGAAGCCUGAUGCAGCAACGCCGCGUGCGGGAUGACGGCCUUCGGGUUGUAAACCGCUUUCGCCUGUGACGAAGCGUGAGUGACGGUAAUGGGUAAAGAAGCACCGGCUAACUACGUG
rnacentral:rRNA from 1 species